UACAGAGGGGGCAAGCGUUGUUCGGAAUUACUGGGCGUAAAGGGCGCGUAGGCGGCCCGCUAAGUCGAACGUGAAGUCCCCGGGCUCAACCCGGGAACUGCGUCCGAUACUGGCAGGCUUGAAUCCGGGAGAGGGAUGCGGAAUUCCAGGUGUAGCGGUGAAAUGCGUAGAUAUCUGGAGGAACACCGGUGGCGAAGGCGGCAUCCUGGACCGGUAUUGACGCUGAGGCGCGAAAGCCAGGGGAGCAAACGGG
rnacentral:rRNA from 1 species